GAGACUUCGGUUUCCUGNGUUAGUGGCGCACGGGUGCGUAACGCGUAUGCAACCUACCUUCCACAGGGGGAUAGCCCGGCGGAAACCCGGAUUAUUACCGCAUGAUACAUUUGGGCGGCGUCGCCCGACUGUCAAAGAUUUCAUCGGUGANNAAUGGACAUGCGAGCCAUUAGCUGGUUGGCGGGGUNNACGCCCACNNGGGCAACCAUGGCUGGGGGUUCAGAAAGANUGGUCCCCCUGACUGUGACUGACACACGGAACUCACUCCUACGGGAGGCAUNNGUAAGANAGAUUGANNAAUGGCCGACAGGCUGACCCAUGCAUGCCGCGUGCAGGAAGANNGCCUUCUGGGUUGUAAACUGCUUUUACCAGGAAAGAAAACGCCCCUGCGGGGGUAACUGACGGUACCUGGUGAAUAAGCACCGGCUAACUCCUUGCCAGCAGCCGCGGUAAUACGGAGGGUGCACGCGUUGUCCGGAUUUAUUGGGUUUAAAGGGUGCGUAGGCGGCCCGCUAAUUCUGUGGUGAAAUCCCGGGGCUCAACCCCGGAACUGCCCUGGAUACUGGCGGGCUUGAGUUCGGUCGAGACGGUCGUAACUGUCGGUGUAUCGGUGAAAUGCGUAGAUACCGCCAAGAACCCCGAUUGCGAAGGCACCUCGCUGGGCCGAAACUGACG
rnacentral:rRNA from 1 species